rnacentral:lncRNA from 1 species
UCUCUUGUUUUUGUAUGCAUUUUAUCAAUUUUUUGUCUGAUGUUUACAAGCACGUGUGAAUAUAUCAUGUUGUAGACAAUGCAAUGGUUUAGUGGAUGGUGCAGCUCUGGUACAUGAUAUUGUCUACAAGCACGUGCGUGGAUGUCAUGUUGUAGAUUUCACAGUGGUUAAGUCGGUGCUGCAACUUGAUCCUUUUUCUAAGGAAUGUGCAUUCAACUUAUGGCUAUGGUGAAAGAAAAGCUCGAAGUAUCGGACAAGAAACUUGAAACUAUUCGAUAUGAAACUCAGGCUAUCAGACGAGGAACCCGAACUGUCCGACAAGAAGCAGUUUCCUGUACCAUACGAAGAAAAAUUUAGUUGAGGGAACUACGGUUGUCGUGGAAUUGCCUUGCUGGUACUAAAAAGAUGCCGAUAACCAGAGGGGCACUGGUAACCAAUCGAUGUCGCUUAUCAGAGGUGUUCUGGGUCCCUUAUGUCAACAUAGUAAUCAAAUGUUCUCGACAAGGAGACGACACUUGCUGCUUCUACCAGAUGAAGCCAGUGGCGGAAGAAGGGACCCGAUGCCUGGAAUAACUUUGCAGUAUAAAAUUUUGCACUGUUCGAAUGGUCAAGAUAGAGUGGUUUUAGUGGAAUACAGCCUUUGAUGGACAUAUCGUCUGUAUUUGCCCUGUCCUGCUGAUGAUAGAGAGCUCUUCCACACCUCGUGCACACAUCAGAAUCCGCGAGGUAGGCGACGAAUUUAUUCAGGUUUAAAACGACAGGAAGGCAGUGUUUUACAUUGUUGAAAGACAAAGAAAAAGAAUCGAUUCCAGAACGUGCUGUCCUGUGUUUGUUGUUUUCGGCAGUUGAGGGGUGAGUCUGGUGCAUGCCAGAUACUAUCUAUUGAUUUCAAACACUCUAGUGGGAAAUAUAUGCAGAAGAAAGAACCAAGUAUGAUAAAUCCACGACAGACCUGGCACAAGCAUAUAGUAUGACACAACUACAGCCGCCAUGACAAAAGCAUAGUUAAACAAAUUAGACAUAAGCUAGCAUAUAUAUAAUUAUACCCCAAUGUACAAAGUAUAUUGGGCUAUGUUGGAGUCACGCAUGUCCAGUCCAUCCGUCCGUUCAUUUGUCCACCAUGGCCGCUGAGAUGACUUUCAUAAAACUGACAUAAAUUAUAAACCUCAUCAAGACGAUGUACAGAGCGCUCAACCUAGGUCACAAGGCCCAAGGUCAAGAUUACUCAUGGAAAUCAAAGGUCAAAUAGCUUAGCUUCAUGUCCGCUCUGUAUUGUCUAAACGGCUUUGAAAAUAUCUAGCUCGACUGUUUGAAGAGUAUGGAGGAUUACUGUACUUUCCUUGGCGUCUGUGUCACUGUCACCGUUGCAUUGAAAGUUAAAAUUUUAGGCAAGCUUCUCAGUGUCACUAUAUCUUCUUACUACUGCCCUUACUAACAUCAAACUUCACAUAAGUGUUGGUCUUGGUAAGGGAAAGACAUCUACAUGUAUUAGUUUAGGAACAAGUAUCCUAAAUGUCGAAGUCACUGGCUUAAAUAUUGUGAUAGUGCUGGUUAAAGUUUCAUGAUAAGCUUCUCAAUUUCACAAUAUAACCUCACAUAAGGAUUGAUCUUAGAACGUGGCAGAAAUCUUUUUGUUUAGGGUCAGGUUGCUCAAAGGUCAAUGUUACUGGGUUCAGAUUUUGUAACAGUGUUGGUUAAAGUCUUGUGGCACAUUUCUCAAUUUGACUUAUAUCUCAUAACGUUUCUUAGAACUGGUAUCCCUCAUGUCCUAUCCUUUUUAGCUAUACCCACACUUCAUCUACGUUCCUCCCGACACCCACCCAAAAAUGCGUUCCAUACAAAAACUUAUAUUUCAUGUUUCCAUCAACUCCCCUACUCCGCUGUCUUCACCUACCUCCUCCGCCCCAUUUCACCGAACCUUUGCCCUCGUCCCCUCCAUAAAAAGAAUAAAAAAAACUCCUUUUCGAUCUCCCACAUUUACUUAUAAUAAUAACUUUGUUAAACAUUUUCCUUAUAGUCGAGCAGACACAAUUAACUCAGAUCACUAGGCCCACGGUCAAGGUCGCACCUAAAAGUCAAAAGUCAUGAUGACAACAUUUUACUUCCUCUUUAUCAAAGUGAGGUCUGGGGGUAUUAAUCGACUUCAGUGAUAGCCUUAGUUGAUUAGGUGUUAGUGGCAUAAAUGUGUAACAUUUGCUUUAUUAGGGGUGGGGGAUAAGAAUGGUCUUCGUCCGUCCGUCUGUCCGUCCGUCUGCCCGUCCGCAACACUUUCGUGUCCCAGGCCAUAUCCCCUAAACCCCUUGAAGGAUUUUCAUGAAACUUGGGUCAAAUUAUCAACACAUCAAGAUGAUGUGCAGAAUUUAUAAAUCAGUCAUGUCAGUUCAUUGCUAAGGUCACAGCUCAA